CAGCAGUGGGGAAUAUUGGACAAUGGGGGCAACCCUGAUCCAGCAAUGCCGCGUGGGUGAAGAAGGUUUUCGGAUUGUAAAGCCCUUUUGGCAGGGACGAUGAUGACGGUACCUGCAGAAUAAGCCCCGGCUAACUUCGUGCCAGCAGCCGCGGUAAUACGAAGGGGGCUAGCGUUGCUCGGAAUGACUGGGCGUAAAGGGCGCGUAGGCGGCGAUCAAAGUCAGGCGUGAAAUUCCUGGGCUCAACCUGGGGGCUGCGUUUGAUACUUGGUUGCUAGAGUGGGGAAGAGGGUCGUGGAAUUCCCAGUGUAGAGGUGAAAUUCGUAGAUAUUGGGAAGAACACCGGUGGCGAAGGCGGCGACCUGGUCCUUGACUGACGCUGAGGCGCGAAAGCGUGGGGAGCAAACAGGAUUAGA
rnacentral:rRNA from 1 species